rnacentral:rRNA from 1 species
UGGGGGAUGACGGCCUUCGGGUUGUAAACUCCUUUCGUUAGGGACGAAGCCACACCUUUUUUGGGUGUGGUGACGGUACCUUUGUUAAGAAGCACCGGCUAACUACGUGCCAGCAGCCGCGGUAAUACGUAGGGUGCGAGCGUUGUCCGGAAUUACUGGGCGUAAAGAGCUCGUAGGUGGUUUGUUGCGUCGUCUGUGAAAUUCCGGGGCUUAACUUCGGGGUGGCAGGCGAUACGGGCAUAACUAGAGUGCUGUAGGGGAGACUGGAAUUCCUGGUGUAGCGGUGGAAUGCGCAGAUAUCAGGAGGAACACCGAUGGCGAAGGCAGGUCUCUGGGCAGUAACUGACGCUGAGGAGCGAAAGCAUGGGGAGCGAACAGGAUUAGAUACCCUGGUAGUCCAUGCUGUAAACGGUGGGCGUUAGGUGUGGGGACCGGUUUGGUUUCUGUGCCGUAGCUAACGCAUUAAGCGCCCCGCCUGGGGAGUACGGCCGCAAGGCUAAAACUCAAAGGAAUUGACGGGGGCCCGCACAAG